GUCCCUCGCGCCGCGCCGUCGGGGCCGUGCGCCUGCGCGGGAGCUGGCAGCAUGGCGUUCCGGCAGGCGCUGCAGCUGGCGGCGUGCGGGCUGGCCGGGGGCUCGGCCGCCGUGCUCUUCUCGGCCGUGGCGGUGGGGAAGCCGCGUGCGGGCGGGGACGCGGAGCCGCGUGCGGCCGAGCCCCCGGCCUGGGCGGGGGGCGCGCGGCCCAGCCCCGGCGUCUGGGACCCCAACUGGGACAGGCGAGAACCGCUGUCUCUGAUCAACCUGCGGAAGAGGAACGUGGAAUCUGGGGAAGAAGAGUUGGCGUCCAGGCUGGACCACUACAAAGCCAAGGCCACGCGGCACAUAUUCCUCAUCAGGCACUCCCAGUACCACGUGGAUGGCUCCCAGGAGAAGGACCGCACUCUGACCCCGCUGGGUCGGGAGCAGGCUGAACUCACCGGGCUCCGCCUCGCAAGCCUGGGCUUGAAGUUUAAUAAAAUCGUCCAUUCCUCUAUGACGCGCGCCGUAGAGACCACCGACAUCAUCAGCCGGCACCUGCCAGGCGUCUGCAAAGUCAGCACAGACCUGCUGCGGGAAGGUGCCCCCAUCGAGCCGGACCCGCCCGUGUCCCACUGGAAGCCGGAAGCUGUGCAGUAUUACGAAGACGGAGCCCGGAUCGAGGCCGCCUUCCGGAACUACAUCCACCGGGCGGACGCCAGGCAGGAGGAGGACAGCUACGAGAUCUUCAUUUGCCACGCCAACGUCAUCCGCUACAUCGUGUGCAGAGCGCUGCAGUUCCCUCCCGAAGGCUGGCUCCGGCUCUCCCUCAACAACGGCAGCAUCACCCACCUAGUCAUCCGACCCAACGGCCGAGUUGCACUCAGGACCCUCGGGGACACAGGGUUCAUGCCCCCCGACAAGAUCACCCGGUCCUGAGGGCGCCCACCCGGCCCCGGCCUCUCCUUCCCUCUGCCCUCCCCGCACCGGCCGCACCACGGUCACGUCUUGUUCCCGAGGAGGCCGGCAGAAAGUAGAAACCCACGACGCAGCACCUGGGGACUGACCCUGGCCGGGCUGGAGAGGGGCGAGUUCGGAUCAGACGGCCUGACUUCUCUGCAAGGUUUGACACCUGGCCGUGACCCAGCAGCACAGCACGGGGUUUCAGAGUAACCACCGUGUGAGCGGCUGUCCGUAACACCCAGGAAGACACUGACCUCCCGUUACUGCCUCCUGGUCACCUCGGCGAGCUCACGGCUGCUGCGUUCCCAGCUCCUCUCGCAUUCUGACCACAGACCUCCAUGAAAGCCAAGGUGAAGGCUACGGUGAGCACCGCCAGGGACUGAAACGCGGCUCAAACCUCUAGCUUCUGUACGUAAGGCAAUGGAAACCCCAACCGAAACCAACUCCAAAAUAAAGGAUAGCUUUACCAUAUCAUCAUUUAUGCCCAACGGAUCCUCUGAAUUUCACACAGAACAAUCGACAGGUUUUAUGACUGCUCCACUGGCACCUAAAUGAGAUGGCCGAGAAAGCUCAAGUGCUGAUGAAACCUCCGAACACCUGGGUGCCACUGCCGGGAACUUGGUGUGGCUGCUGGCAUCACUCCCACGGGCCACAGGACUUCCCAAGAGAAAAGCUGUUUGAGGUGCACUCGGGCUCCCUGCUCUCUGCCGGCCCCCUUCUCCCUCUGUCUAACCCAUGAGACCUACAGGCGAGCCAGCGGGGACCCUGCUACCAUCAGACGCGGCAAGGAGGCACACAGCUCAGGUAUUGCCAAGGCCUCCACCACGCCCCUCCCCGUCCGCGCGUGGGACGCUGGUGGGUGCGUGGCCCUCCCCGCCGUUUCCUCUGCUACAUUGCAGGCCUAGAAAUUGCCGCCUGAAGUCUACCAUUACCACACUGACAGUUUCCAGAAAACUGGUAUCUGAGUUUCAGUAACUUACAACUUCUUCCAAAAUACCAGAAAUCUAAGUUUUGUAGAGAACCAUGUAAAUUUUCUAAAAUUCUCACACCUCAAAGUGAGGAUUAAUAAUUUAAUAAGAAUAUACUCCUUUGUGACAUUUUAGCAAAAAACACACGACCCUUCCUCCUUUAGAAAUGAAGAGCGAAACGAGCCCCCGCCGUGAGCCUACGGGGCGCUGAGCUCGGCCAGGCGCGCCAUCCUGCGGAGCUGGCUCCCACGCGCGGGGCUGUAGCGCCCAGGGCUGCCCGGGCCCGGCUUCCUGGGGCUGCUCCCGGCCGCACCGUUUCUCCCCGGACUGGAGCUGUGAGGUCCGCUGAGAUCCGGCGGCCAAGACUUGAACUUUCCUUUCAGCGCGGGGCUGGGCCAACUACAGAAAGCAAGAAGGAACAGUCAGCAGACGCCGGGCCUGGAGAUGACAGCGAGAGCGCUGGGGCGCAGGGGCCCGGACGCGGGCACGGCUCCCGGGAGGCGCAGUCCCGGCACCGCGGCACUGGGAGGGCCGAGCGCACGGGGUUCCCAGGAGCGGCUUGUGCGACCCCGAGUAUAAAUCCUGUUUCCGCCCCCACGGCCCUCAGCUUCUCGGCAGCAGACCCGUUCUAGUUUCCACCCAACCAGGGACGGCCUGGGUGCACAGAGCCUCAACACGCACACCCACCGCCCGGCUGCCGGGCCUGCCGGCGCGACGCAAGACCACCGACACGUCCGUGGGAACUGGCGCGGCGCUCCGGGUGGGUCCCACGUACCUCUGCCUGUCGGAGGGCGAGUAGCACAGGACGGCACUCUUCCAUCUGUGCACAGCCGGGAACUGACGCGGGUCCACGUCCACACAUUCAAGAGCAGCCAAAACAUCCUGAUCUAGUUUCGACGGCUCCUCUCUGGAAAGCACAAUACAAGAAGCUAAAACAUCUUUGGUAAAAAAAGUAAGGAAUUCUAAAA